AUAUCUUGCAAAGUUUCUCUCUCUCCUCACUCCACCCAAUUCGACACUCUCUCUCUCUCCCUCAUCUCUCACUUUCCACCAUUGUCAACCAUUAAUGAGACCUUCGGAGCUUCCUAAAAUCAUACCAAACACACUAAUCCACCACUAAAUCUUGCCUAAACACCUUCAAUCUCAUUGAAUUCAAGAGGAUCCUUGAAGAUUGGUUUCAAAGCUAGAAAGAGAAAGUGUGAGUUUUGGGGCAAGUUUGGGUAAGUGACCUUUAAAUCCAUAGAUAUAACUUGUAUGAUGAUAUAUGUGAGUAUUUAUGGAAGAUUGAAGCAAAAAAAUCACCCCUUCUUUUUUUUCCAAAUUUUCGAAAAUUUAGGAUCUCUACCCUUCAAAAAAAUUUCUUUUUCUUUCCUUGAUUUGGGGUGAAAAAUGAGAUCUAUGUGAUGUUUGAUGAUGAUUGAUGUGUGUUGUGAAAGGCUAUGCCUUGAGAUGUGAAAGUUGGAUGAGUUUAGUUUACCCAACAUUUGGGAAUUUGUGAGUUGAUGUAUUAAGUGAUGAAUUGAUGAUGAAAAAUGAGUCUAUGAGAUGUCUAUGAUGAUGAUUGAUGGAUUAGAUUGAGUAUAUGAUGUUAAUUGAUGAAUUUAAGGUGAGUUAGUUUAAUAAAAUUAGGGAUAUGUGUAUCUAUGCCCUAAAUUGUAAAUUGAUGGAUUAUAUGUGAGUUUAAAUGGUUAAAAUUGAUAGAUCUAUGAUUAGAUUAAGGUUUCAUGUGUGUUUAUAAAAUUUCAAAGAGUUUAGUUUAUUGAAAAUUAGGACUUCCUUGCCUAUGUGUUUAUUAAGUGUUUUGGUUUAGGAUAUAUAUAAUUGAGCAUGAUAUUAGUGUCUAAUUAUGUUUGACUAGGUCUUUUGUUGACUAAAUAAAUUUGGACUUAGUUUAGUUUGUAUGAUUAAAGAGGAUAUAUGUGUGUAUAAUGAGUUAUAUGAUGUAUGAGAUCAUGUUUGAGUAUUUGAGUAAUUUUGAGCAUGAAAAUGAGAAGAGAAUUGAAAUAAUGUGUUCGUUGAAACGUUUUCCUUGAGAUUUGAGUCUAAGAUGUAGGAGGAGAGUCAAUUUGAGUUAUGAUGAGUAUUAAGUUGUGCUUGAAUGUUUUUUAGUGCUAUAAGUGUUUAAAAAUGAGCUUUGAUGAGUUUUCUUUGAUGGAAUGUUGAGUUGAGCAUGUUUACUUGUGUGGUUGAGUUCGGAGUCAUUUUUCAUGACGCACUGACCUACUGUUUUCGAGGGGUUAUUGUUACUCAAUACCUUGAAAAUUUUAUGACACGUUUAUAUGAGAGACUUAAGCAUACCGGUAAAAUUUCAAGUUAUUUGGACUUCAUUUACUAUUUUUAUAAAAUGUAAAACCAAAACUGCUACGUUCUGCCGAAAUGUUCAGUGAGUAGCCCAUAGAGUCACCUUUUUCAGUAUCUUUACUUAACAUUUUGGAGCCCAAAUUUUUAUUGUUGAGACAUGAGUGUCUUAGCUAAGUUUCCACCAAAUUUCAGACCUUUUCGGUAACGUUUACUAUUUUUCAAAAAUCAAAGUUUUCGAUUGCUCAAAACUGCCGAAUAUGGUAGAUCGUGGUAAAAACGUCAUAUCUCUCAAACCACUUGGAGUUUUCGACUCUACGUUUUUUUUAUAGGAAACUAGACUCGAAGAUCUUUCUUUCGGUAUGAGUGUCGAGUCCAGGAGAUGUCGGAGUCAGAACAGAUUAAAUUUUGAAGUUAAGUCAGUGUAAAAAUAGAGCAUGUUUUGAUGAUGUUUGAUUGUGUUUCUUAUGUGCCUUGUGUGAUUGUGUUGUCUAUGUGUUUGAAUGAGAUUAGACGAGCCUUAUAUGAGAGAUAAAUCGAGACUUAGAACCAUGAAUUUUCUUGAAACCUAUCCUUGAACUUAAGGAUUUGAGUUGAGUGGAGAGUUUAUAUAGAGUUGAGUAAGGAGAUAGAAUAUGAGAUAGAGCAUGAGUUAAGGCUUGAGAAUUAGUCAAUGAGUUUAUAAUCGAGAUUCAUUUUUAUGACAUGAACCUUCGAUGAUGAUGAUGAUCCCUGGAGACACAAGCAGAGCAAGGAAGUAAGUAACUCCGCUUUGACGGGAGAUUUUGAGUAAGGUCUUCAGGCUAAGCGAGGAGUGAGAUUGGUCUGGUGCUGGUGGGGGAACGUUUCAAUCGAUGUGUUCAUAUUUAAUAUUGCCGUUAUGAUUGAUAGAGUCUUGAUGAUUAAAAUACUUUAUUUUCUUUUGAAUCAAGUAAUAUACUCACGGUUAUGUGUCUUCAUACAUAUAAUCGGUUCGCUUUUUGCUGCGAUACUCUGCAUAUUAUGAUUCCUUAUGAAAAAUAAGCUAUCCCUGCUUUGUUUUUUAUCUUGAAAUUCCUGAUAUUUAUGGAGUUAUGACGAUGUUGACGUUUA